GUGUCAGCCGCCGCGGUAAUACGGAGGGUGCAAGCGUUGUCCGGAUUUAUUGGGUUUAAAGGGUGCGUAGGCGGCUUUUUAAGUCAGUGGUGAAAUCCUCCAGCUUAACUGGAGUCGUGCCAUUGAUACUGGAAAGCUUGAGUACAGGCGAGGUUGGCGGAAUUGAAGGUGUAGCGGUGAAAUGCAUAGAUAUCUUCAAGAACACCGAUUGCGAAGGCAGCUAACUAGACUGUAACUGACGCUGAGGCACGAAAGUGUGGGGAUCGAACAGGAUUAGAUACCCUAGUAGUCC
rnacentral:rRNA from 1 species